AUGGUGCAGUACGUUCAGCUUUGGCGCUUGGUGCGUCACACUACUCUCUCCAAUGAGCCGGACACGCUACGCUGGCGUUGGACCUCAUCUGCUACAUACACGGCAAGCUCUUGCUACAAGGCCCUAUUCUUCGGCGCUUGUGAAGACCCUUUCUGGCGGCUCACCUGGCGACCUUGGGCCCCGCUCCGCAUCAAGUUCUUCCUUUGGCUGGCCAUGCAAAACCGAUGCUGGACCGCAGAGCGCCUGGCUCACCGCGGAUUGCCCCACGACGACGCUUGCGUAUUGUGUGACCAGGACGAAGAGACCAUGCACCACCUUCUUGCCGGUUGCUCCUUCUCUCGCCAAAUUUGGCAUGAGAUCCUCGGCUGGGCACGUGUGCCCAUCAGCCUCCCUGCCCCCGACACGCCAUUCCAAGUGUGGUGGCAAUCCUCCCUCGACAUCGCGCCCGCUUCCAUGCGCAAGGGUAUAUCCUCCCUCAUCAUCCUCACAGCUUGGUGGAUUUGGAAGCAACGUAAUGCCUGCAUCUUUGACGGCGCGACACCAUCGAUCACCUUCACUCCGACACCAUCAAGGACGAGGCACGACUAUGGGCCAAGGCGGGCGCCACCGGACUGCAAAACAUUAUCCCCGGCGCGUAGUCUCUAG
rnacentral:rRNA from 1 species